UGAUAUGAUUUGUCUCUCUGAGUCUGAACCUGGAAGCGCCCUCGAAAGGAAAACACUUGUUUAACACACAGGAAGUAGGUUUAGCUCCACCCCCUGCAUCCGCCAUCUCCUGUUACUACAUGGGAAGGCGGGCGAAUUUGAAAAAAGAGCAUAUUCGUUUGCAUCCGAAAACAGAGAAAUUUGUUUAAUACAAUUCCAUAUAACCGACCAUAUAACAGAUUGGACAGUCUUACUGACUAGCAGCAGUUUGCAGUUUCUGGAUCUGUAUUGUCUUGCAAGAUGAGCAACAAAACCACACGAUUACCGUCGCGGAAAAGCAGCGAUGAAAUCAGAAAGUCAAGUGGAAAGAGUCCACCACGAAGGAGGUCCUGCAGGUUGUCUGCAAGUGAUGUAAAUCUGGCCUCUAAAGUUGUGG